CGCCCGUCACACCAUGGGAGUGGGUUGCAAAAGAAGUAGGUAGCUUAACCUUCGGGAGGGCGCUUACCACUUUGUGAUUCAUGACUGGGGUGAAGUCGUAACAAGGUAACCGUAGGGGAACCUGCGGUUGGAUCACCUCCUUACCUUAAAGAAGC
rnacentral:rRNA from 3 species